UUAAAUACAUACAUUAUAGAUUAUAUAUAUAUAUAUAUAUAUAUAUAUGAUGGGGUUAAGCUCAGGAAUAUAAGGUUGGUAUAACAUUCAAAAGUUAAGUAAUGUAAUAUGUCCUGUUAACAUACUUAAAAAAGAAAAAUGACAUAAUCCUAACAGACACCAAAGAAAAUAACAAAUGCAAUAUCUGUCUCUAAUAAAACUCCCAGCAAAUUAGAAAGAGAAGGGGACUUCCUCAAUGUGACAAAGAAAGAUUUACAAAAAACUUACAGAUUACUUACUUAAUGGUUAAAGAUUAAACAUUUUCUCCCAAAAUCAGGAACAAGACAUGGCUGACCACUCUCACCAGCCGUAUACAUCAUUGUAAAGGAGGUUGUAGCCAGUGAAAUAAGGCAAGAAAAAAGAAAUAAAAGGCACCCAGAUUGCAAAGAAAGGAUUAAGGGUCUCUUAAUUUGCUGACAACAUAAUCAGCUAUAUCAAAAUCAUAAGGUAUCUACAAAAAUCUACUCCAACUAAUAAGAGAGUUCAGCACGACUGAAGGAUACAAUAUUAAUAUACAAAUAUCAGCUAUAUUUCCAUAUAAUCACAACAAAUAAUCAGACAUUGAAAACUAAAGAAAAUAAAUAUCAUUUACAAUAGCUUCAUAAAUAUACUUAGGGAAAAGUCUGACAAAAAAGUUGUAAGACCCAUUCUGUGAAAUUUUUUAAAUAUUGCUGAGAUUAAAGAAGGCCUUGAAAAAUGAAGAGAUAUACCAUGUUCAUGAGUCAGAAAACUCAACUUUGAUAAGGUGUCAACUGUCCCCCAAACUGACCUAUGGAUUCAACACAAUCCCGAAUAAAAUCCCAGCAACAUUUCCCUAGAAACUAACCAGCUGAUUCUGAAAUUCAUAUGAGAAUGCAAAGGAAUUGAGUAGCUAAAAUAACUGAAAAAGAGCAAAACUGAAGGACUGACACUCAGUGAAUUGAAGAUGUAGAAAGUUUCAAUAAUCAAACUAGUCCCAAAAUGGACACAGAAACAUAUGCACAACUGAUUUCAACACCAGUACACAGCCACCUUAGCAGAAAAAGUUUUUUCAACGAGUGGUCCUGAAACAAUAUCUAUAUGCAGAAACAAUGAAUUAACAUCUAUAUCUCUCACCACAUGCAGAAAUUAAGUCAAAAUGGACUAUAAACCUAAAUGUAAAAUCUAAAACUACAAAACUUCUAGAAAAAAAAUAAUCAAAGAAAAUAUUUGGUUUAGGCAAAGUUUCAUAGGUAUCACAACAAAAGCAUAAUCCAUGAAAGAAAAAAAUGAUAAAGUGGAAUUCAUCAAAUUUAAAACUUCUGUUCUUUGAAACCACUGUUAAGAGAAUGAACAGACAAGCCCCAGUCUGGGAGAAAAUAUUUCCAAACGAUAUAUCUGAUAAGGAAAUAGUACCUAGAAUGGAUAAAGACUCACAAGAAGAAAUAUAAAAAAUAAGAAUAUAAAAAAUGUGCAAACACUUAAAGCAGAUACCUCACAUGUCACUUGCUGUAGAGUAAGUAAGCACAUGACAAGAUGCUCAACAACAUUAGUCAUUAGGGAAAUGCAAAUUAAAACCACAGUGAGAUACCACUACAUGCUUAGUAGAACCAUUGAAAUUUAAAAGACUUACUAUAUCUAGUGCCUGGGGAUAUGAAUUAUCUAGAACAUUCACACACUGUUGGUGGGAAUGGAAAUGAUACAAUUGCCUUUGAAAAUAGUUUGUCAGUUUGUUAAAAAGUUACACAUGAUUCCAGCAUAGGAUCCAGCCCUUGCACUCAAAUGACCCAAGAGAAACGUUCAUACAAAGGCUUCUACUACCAGCAGCUUCCAGAAAAGCCAAACAUUGGAAACAAUCUAAAUAUCCAUCACAGGGUGAAUAAUAAAUACAUUGUGGUGUAUCCAUACAUUGGAAUACUACUCAAGAAUUAAAAAGAAUAAACUUCUGAUACACCAGGAAUGAAUCUUGAGAUAAAUAUGCUGUGUGAAAGAAGCCAGACAAAAAGGAAUAUAUAAAGUAUGAUUCCAUUCAUAGAAAAUUCUAGAAAAUUCCAACAAACCUACAGUGACAGAAAGCAGCUCAGCAGUUUCCCGAGGACAGGGAGAAACAGCAGGAAAGAAAGGGUUUGGGGUGCAAUGGAUAUUUUUAGAAUCUUCAUUGUGGUGUCAUUUUCAGAGGUGUGUACAUGUCAAAACUUUCCAAGCUACACAGUUUAUUGCAUCUCAAUGAUACCUCAAAGAGCUCUUAAAAUAAAGGAUCAAAAAAGAAAAAAUAACUUAAAGGAAAAGUAACUAUUGCAAUUAAAUAAUUCAUUUUGAACAUGCUAAAAACAAAGAAAGCUGUGCUGUAAGAGUACAUAAUUAGGGAGAACACAGCCUCAAGUCAGAAAAGCCUCCUUGGUAUAAGCUAAGAUUUGAAGGAUGUCUAGUAAUCAACUACACACA